CGGGGUGUAGUUCAGGUGGUAGAACGCUUGGUUCGGGACUAAGAGGCCGCUGGUUCGAGUCCAGUCACUCCGA
rnacentral:tRNA from 1 species